CUGAGCCAGAGGGGACAGUCCACCCUUUUCCAACAGAGGACCAUGGUGUCAGACUUGGAGGUGCAGAUUCUCAUCCCAGUCACUUCACACUCGGCCUCAAACCUGCUCAGUGCGCAUCGGCGGUCACAGUCUGAAGCCAAUAGAACCACAUCAUCUGCAAAAAGCAGAGAUGCAACUCUGAGGUCACCAAACUGGACACCAUCCAGACACCAACUGCA